AUGAAAGUUUUUUCCUCCGGUGAUAUUUUAGCUCUACUGCAUCCGGGACUUUAUUUCAUUAGAGAGCUAGCGGCUCCUGUGGAGGUUGGUAGUUCCCCAUCUAUCAGCCAUAGAUCUGGCUGUUUUCCUCCCGCACCCUUAUCGGGAUUAAGGAAAGCCGGUUUCCAUCCUUUGUCAGGACCCGAAAACCUAGUUACCAACCUCUCUUGCAUUUUACUUUUUUGGAGUCGUUUUCUAUACUAUAUUUUUUUCAAUGUUAUAAAUCAUUAG